rnacentral:rRNA from 1 species
AGCAGCCGCGGUAAUUCCAGCUCCAAUAGCGUAUAUUAAAGUUGUUGCAGUUAAAAAGCUCGUAGUUGAAUUUCGGGGUUAGUAAGUUGGUCAUGCCUUCGGUAUGUACUGGCUUUACUGAUUCCUCCUUCUUGACGAACCGUGAUGUCAUUAAUUUGGUGUUGCGGGAAAUCAGGACUGUUACUUUGAAAAAAUUAGAGUGUUUAAAGCAGGCUAACGCUUGAAUACAUUAGCAUGGAAUAAUGAAAUAGGACGUUAAUUCUAUUUUGUUGGUUUCUAGGAUCGACGUAAUGAUUAAUAGGGAUAGUUGGGGGCAUUAGUAUUCAAUUGUCAGAGGUGAAAUUCUUGGAUUUAUUGAAGACUAACUACUGCGAAAGCAUUUGCCAAGGAUGUUUUCAUUAAUCAAGAACGAAAGUUAGGGGAUCGAAGACGAUCAGAUACCGUCGUAGUCUUAACCAUAAACUAUGCCGACUAGGGAUCGGAUGAUGUUAUUUUUAAUGACUCA